GUGCUUUGAUACGCAGGAUUGCUUGAGC
rnacentral:piRNA from 1 species